CGAAUAAGUCUGGGAACAGGUCACCUGUCCGGAGGACAGGUGUGAAAAGGGAAGCCGGUGCAAAACCGGCGCGGUCCCGCCACUGUGAGAGGGAGGCCCCCUGUGCGAUGUCACUGGCUAGAUGCUGGGAAGACGCAGAGGCGGCUCAUGAUCUCGAGCCAGGAGACCUGCCUGUUCUGACACUGCCGG
rnacentral:ncRNA from 2 species